GUCUAUGGCCAUACCACCCUGAACGCACUCGAUCCAGUCUGAUCUCGGAAGCUAAGCAGGGUCAGUUCUGGUUAGUACUUGGAUGGGAGACCACCUGGGAAUACCAGGUGCUAUAGGCA
ensembl:rRNA n-R5s13 nuclear encoded rRNA 5S 13